rnacentral:lncRNA from 1 species
GGGUAGAAAAGGUCUAAUGUUAUUGUCCCCCAGCACCAGAUGAUUUAAGCUAGAUCCAUUGCUUCACUGCUGGUUCCUCAUGGCAAGAACCUUGGCCAAAGCCGGCCAGGCCAUGAUGUCGGCCACCCAAGCGCUCACCUUGGGGCGGGCGUCGAACAGCUUCUUCACAGGUGUCCCCAUCAGGCUGGUCAGGGCCGGGAGGUGGUGGAGGUCGGCCAGGGUGAAGCAGUCGCAGCCUAGGUACUUGGACUGGCUCAGGCGGACCUCGUAGAUGUCGAGGACCUUGGCGAGCUUGGCCUCGUUCUCCUCGACUACUGCAGCAUCCGUGGCCAUGCCAAUUUUCGACUUGUACACGAGCUCCCGAUGCAGCUUCGACGCCGCCGGGUCAAACUGGUGGGCCUCGACUUCCAUCCACACGCUCACGGUUGCCAUGGGUUCGCCCUCGCAAACGAGGGGAGUGCCCUUGUCCUCGUAUACGUGAGCAAUGUAUUGAGUAAUUGCCCUCGAUUCUGCCACCACAAAGAGCAUAAUCAAGACAAACUAUAUUUCGCCUAGUUGUUUAUUGUUCUGUUGACUGAGUGAACAGUCAAAGAUUGACUAAACACUUGAUCUUUCAUCAUGAUUGCACGAUCUAUCGGCAAUCGAAUCAGCGCCCUUUGACUAAAUACUUUAAUCUUUAAUGAUGGUCACACAAUAUAAUACAUCAGUAAUAGAAAGACUUACCGAAUAGCUUCAAAUCUCCGUCCUCGAAGACCGGGACUUGACCGAAAGGCUGCACAGAGAGAUCGAGAAACGUUAGAUCCAAGAGACGACGGAGGAUUUCUUGAAAGACCACGUCGAGACCCCAGGACCAGAAAAUAGUUAGGAAUACUGUGGCACGGGCGGUGGGCGGGGACGGACACUUACGUUGAGGGCGAGGAAAUGCUCCUUCUUGUGCUCGCCGGCUCGCAAGUUGACGAAGACGAACUCGAACUCGAGGUCCUUCUCGUGGAGGGCAAUGAGGAGCCGCAUCGUCGGGGCGGAGAAGACGCUUCCGUGGACCUUCGUAGCCAUGUUCCUGUCCGUCGGCGAGAUUCUUAUCUCCCAUUCUUGGAAAGGAGAUACUAUUGUUGUAUUAUUCUUAUUUCCUUUUUCUGCUAAAUUCCACUAGAGGUGAGCAUUGGAUCGACCCUGGAUCGGCCCAACCCUAUUGGUCCUAAUCCGGUUCCUAGGGAGACUGGGUUAGUUUUUAGUCCUAGAAUUUCUAGACCAGUACUGUGCGGGUCAGUUCUCGAUCAGUCCAACCCGGAUCAACCCUGACUCUCUAUAUAUAUAUAUAAUAUUAUUUAUAAUUUUUUUAUAUAGAGAAAACCCUAAAAUAAAUAGUGUCAACAGCAUUAAAUGGCUAUUUAGUAAUGAGUUCAAGUAAUUUUACAUUAUUCUUUAAUAACUUGAAAAUCAUAAUUUAUGAAGGAGGAAAAUGUUUUUGUGAGAAGUCCUCACGGUGUCCAAAAAAGUAUAAACAGCUCCUUAUGGCAUCCCCUAUAGUAUUUGUUCUCUUCUGUCUUAUUUGUUAUCUUAAUCUUCAAUUUGUCAAAAUCGAAAUAAACAACUUCUCCACUCGCCACUCGACACUCACCUUGCUCGCUUUAGGUCAUUCGUGCCACUCGCCGCUUGAUUCUCACUUGGCUUGCUACUCCCCGCUCAACAUUCGAUGCUCAUUCUUUCGACGCUCACCCCACUUAACCCUUAAUGCUUGCCUUUCUUAACUGACCUUACUUAUCAUCGAACUCAUUGGGUUAGUACGGUCAUUGGUUGCCAUUUCAAAGAGUACAAAAAAUAAAAUAAAAAUUAUUAGUUGGUUCUAGGUUGACCUGGAAACCGGACUAAACCCAUUGAGUCAAUCCGGUCUUUAAUGGCUUUUUUAAGAAGUACAAAAAAUGAAAUAAAAAAUUAUCGGUUGGUCUCGGGUUGACCCUGGAAUCAGACCAAACCCAUUGGGUCGGUCCGGUCCUCGGUUCCAAGCUCAAUUAGGUCGGUCAUCGGUCCUAAAAAUUGAGGACUAGCACUGUGCAGGUUGGUCCUAGGGUUAGGGGGUGGAUCGGUCCAACCCGAACCAUGCUCACUCCGAAAUUCCACACCAUCUAUCAUGGCACUACUUUUUUCGUGGUCUGAAAGCUUCUCAGAAAAUGAAAUACAUCGGUGGCAGUUGGGAUUGGACCGCCUAAACUUGAAACUGUGUGGAUUCUACCAGCCGAUUUGGUCCAAUACUAAAGCAAUGAGAAAAAAAAAACAAUCAGUUCCAUUAGACCGGAUCAGAAUUGAACCGAAUCGGUGAUGUGGUCCGAUUUCCGAUUCUAAGACCAAUCGAUCCAAUCCUUAGUUCUUAUUUUUGGGAACAUGACUGUCUCUUGGUCCGAUUUCCAAUUUCACCUUGGAACUGGAUCGGAUUGAGAACCGAUCACCCUUACUUGAAAGGAGACAACAAAUCCCUAUGCAACAGGUAGGCAUAGCAAUAAGUUACUCAUGCGAAACGUGCCUCUACUCAGAAGGAUAAUUUUUUGAAAAGCAAAAAGGCAAUUCUCUCUUUAGAAAGACUUUGAGAAAACAUUAAUUAUGUUUCAAAAAUGAGAAAGAAUGGAAAGAUUUUUCGGGUGGGUCGAAAAUAUAGAAAACUUCUAAUUUUACUUAAGGCAUAAAAAGAGUGUAAAAUUUUUUCCCCUUUUUUUGGAAUUUUCUUCUCUCUUCCAUUGACCAUGAUUGCAAACAUAAGGAAAGGGCUAAAAGUUGAAUUUGAUUUCUUUUUUGUCGAAGAAAAUUUUAUUGAAAUUACGAACAUGGUCUAAAGAGCUCGGAGCAAGGCCAAUCUAAACAAAGGAGGGCCCAAAGGCUUUAAGGAGGAAAAGAAAGCCGGUUUUGUGGAAGUGAGCCAAUCCGUCAUGUCUUCGCAGCUCAGUCGGUUACCGCAUUAGAAGCCCGCGAACAAUGGACUAUGCAAAUGGAUGGAUGGGCCUUGAGUAGCUGUAAAAAAUUCACGAUAAGAAGUCGCUCCUCCCGGUUGAAAUUAUCUGUAAACCCGCUUAUCAAAGCUUCCACGAGAUCGGCAUGGUUGAGCUCAAUUGCAUGGUUUGCGGGACCAUCUUCACUCAAAACUACAAGCUGGAUUGCUUCAAGGACGGCUAGGGCUUCCACCUAAGAAGGUGAUGAUAUCUUCACCAAUUUGGGGAAAGCCGUAAUAAUAAUACAAGCACGAUCUCUGUAGAUACCAGCUAUGACGCCAUCCACCAAUCCAUUGACAAGGGAGCCAUCAACAUUGGAUUUUAGGAUUUUCUCCUCCAAUGAGAGCCUAGGUAUACAACUUAUAAAGGUGGGAUCUUUUAUUGUAUUUGAUGUAUGAAAGAUCCAUUUUAAGUAAUUUGGUCGCUAGAAAUAUGUUGAUUGCAUGGCAUGUCGUGCAUUCGGAAAUUUGCCCUGAAAUACAUUAUAAAAAGAAGACAUUAAUGAACUUCUAUGAAAUGGCUUCAUGGGAUUCAGGCAAUUGUCUUGAUCAUGGGAUAUCAUUGAGACAUAGGAAUCCGUAUUAUUAAAAGAUUUCCUACAAUUAUUUCUAGUAUGGAAUGAAUCAAUCAUCCACUUUGGUAUCUUAGGGUCCGUUUGUUUCGCGGAAAACAAUUUCCGGGAAAAUAUUUUCCAAAAUUACCGAUGUACCGAUGGCGGAAAAUAGGUAGUCAAAGAAAAUGUACCGAUGGAGAUCCUAAUAUUGUGAAAAAUGAUUUCUUCUUUUGAAAAGAGGAAAACAUUUUCCAUAACUUCUUCCACCUUGUUUCUUUUCACCAACACAUUUAUGCUUUCUUUUUCUUUCUUGUUUUUUUUAAUCGAGUUUUUAAUUUUUUUUCCUUUUCUUUUUUUCUUUUCUUCCUUGGUGGCCGUUUCAUCUUCUUCCUUGGUGGUCGGUUGCCAGCCACGGCGGCGGCCGGCAAUCGGCUGCAAGCCAGCUUGAGCCUUGCCCCAGGCUAGCAAGGCUUCGCCUAGCCCAAUCUGGCGAAGGGAGCUCGCCCAAUCCUUGCGAGCUUGGGCCUCGCCAAAUCGGGCGAGGCAGAGCCUUGCCGACUUAGGGUAGAGCUCGAACCUCGCCAGAUCCAGCGAGCUAGGUGAGGCUCGGGCCUCGCCCGAGCUCGCCAGAGGUUUGCCAGGCUCUAGUGAGCCGUGAGCUUGCCGAAUCUGGCAACGAAGCUUGGGCUCAUGAUCCAUAGGAACCCGAGCUCCACUGCCAGAUCGACAAGCUCGAGCGAGAUUGGCCGAGCCUCAAGUUCGUCGGAUCUGGCGACUAGGUGUUGGUCGGCCGCCAGGUAGCCGACCAUCAUCAGGCAUGCGGCAGUGGAGGAAGGUGGAGCCGGGAGGAAGAAAGAGGAGGAAGAAGGAAGGAAAAAAGAAAAAGAAAGAAAUAAUAAAAAUUUCGAUUUUUUAAAAAUAGAAAUAAUUAAAAUUUUAUUUUAAAAAAAUAUAAAAAAAUAAAACUAAUUUUUUAGUCAAUUAAAAAUAUUAAAAUUCAAUUUUUGAUAAUCUUUCCCAAACAAUUAAAUUAGCUAACGAAUGGUGGAAAAUAUUUUCCACUUGAAGUUUUGGUUUCGGCCAAACACCGGAAAAUAGUCAUUUUCCUGGAAAAUGACUUUUAGGAAAAUGUUUUCCGGAAACAUAUUUUCCAUGAAACGAACGGACUCUUAUUGAACAAAAAUGGUGAUAUUGUUCCUUGAUUGAUCAAUAAUUACGAUUUUUGGGAAGUAUCAUGAUCAUAAAAAAAUAAUGGCUUCCAUUUUUACAAAUGAACAAUUUGAAGACCUAUUGAUUCUAACAACUAAUUGCAGAGUUGAUCAUUCGGAUCUUUCAAUUCAUAGACAUGGAUCUCGAACCUAUGAAUGGGGGUAUUCACGAAACUCACAAAGAAAAAAAGGAAGUGAGUUAGACAAAAAAAAAAGAAGAGGAAACUUGGACAAAAUGAAACGAAGUGACUUAGACAAAUCUUUUUUGUUGAGAACCUUAGACCAAUCAAUCAAAUAUUGAUUAAUACUUAAUUGAUCAAAGACUACUUGAAAACGGCUCUUUAGCUUAGAAACAAAAUGUUCCAAAUGUUCUUGGAAAUUCUUGCUCCCAUUGGACCAUUUGUAUUUAUAUGUAUUAGGAUAUCGAUUCACAGAUCUCUCAGUUCAAGAAAUAAAAAUAAGAGGAUUGAACAAUUUCUUCUAACUAUUUUUCAAAUUCGAUAAAUGUAGGUUGAUCUUAUAUUUCAUUAUCGUUUUAUGAUUCAAAGUAUCAUUUCAUAUUUGAUCCCUUUGAAUUCCAUAUCCAAAAUUGCAAUCGGAUUCAUUCAUUAAAAAGAAUCAGUUCCAUACAUUUCUUAUGUACCCAUAGGUGCUAUAUUGGAUUUGAAUUAGAUUUCGGAUCCAUCUAUAUUGAUUAACUGUCUCAUUAUGUUGUUACUAGUAAAUACCAUUAUUUUUUGUUUUGGAUCUUUCAAAUCAUUUUCGCAUGAGAUCCGAACCCAUUUUUUCUAAUCUUUCAAUAAAAAGAUUCAUUUUCUUCAAAAAAGAGAGGAGGUAGAACCAAUAAAGAUUUCUUUUUCAAUUCAUCCCUGGAUUUGAAUACCUCAUUAAAGAAUUAUUUUUGAUCUAAUACGUAAGAAUCCAUAGAUAAGGCAAAUCCUUUAAGAUACAUCAAAUCUAGCUCACUUAUUGAUAGAGUAAAUAGAUCUGCCAUUAUUUGAAAUCUCUCUUCUGAUUCAAAAUCGUGGUGUAAUGUGUAUCAACCUUGUUUCGGUCAUGAAAUAGACGAAAUAAAUCAAAAAAAUGUAUUUUUGUUUAAGAAUGAAAUCUUAUGGAAACUGUGCAUAUCCAGUUCAUCCUUUAGAAUCAUAUCACAUCCCGGAUCUGAUGAAAUAUGAUGAAUUGAGACAAUACUUUGUAAAUACAUAAUUAUCUUAUAUAUAUUAACUAUAUCUUUAUUUUAUGAUCGUUUGGAAAGGACAAAAGAAACAUCUUGUUCUUUCUUCAACAAUUUUUUAUCUCUAGUGGGCCUCUUAGUAGGAUUCCAACCUAGAUGAAGUUUUGACCAUCUGUCAAAGAAAAAAGAAAGAAUGGAUCUUGUAGAAUUCCCAAGAAAUUCUUCGAUUUUUUUCGGAAGCAAAUGAUUCUUCAUCUCUUUCUCACAUUUCGUGAAUAGUUGGGAAUAUCUAGAAAGGCAUUUAGAGAAUCGGUCUGAUUCUAACUCUGUUCGUUUCGUUUGAAGAAAUGAAGGAUCCCAAAGAAUCAAUCUUUCUUUUAGUUGUUGAAUCUCUCUUUGAUUGAUCAAUGUAUGAUAUUCUGAAUCCUUAUUACUAAUGGAAUCGAAAUGAUCUCUGGAUUGAUCAAAAGAUCCUUUUAAUUGGCUAGAAUCCGUUAUUUGAACAAAACUAGAUCUUGUACAAUCAUAUUGAAUAUUUGACGAUACAUUUUGUAACUUGUUAAAAAAUCGGUCCUUGUUUACCAACCACACAUUGUCUAACCAAAUUCAAUUCUCUCUCAAUAUGUUCCUCAAAAAAUCUGAUUCGAGUAUUCUUCCCCUAGCUGACAAAGAGAUCUUGGCGGAAUUGCUACAUAUGAAAUUGAGCACAAUUUUCCAAAAAAAUAGCCCACUUCUUUCUCGAGAAGAGAUGGGAAAUAGGCUUAAUAUCAUUUGAUUGAAUAGUUGACCCAGCUCCUUGUUGUUUGAGGAAACCCUCCACUUCAAUUGGUAUUUUUUUCACGAAAAGCAAACAUGAGAAAACAAAUCUAGUCUUUAACUAAGAUUUCGAAUAGCUAUCACGAAUUCAAAUUAAUUAUGUUUCGUCUCUUACUUGGAGAAAGAUGAUCCAAAAUUCCCAAUCACAGUACUUGCAGAUCGGAUCAUCCAUAUAAUAUACAAAAAGAAACUCCAAAUAUUUAAUAUCUUUUCCUUUGAAUGAUAUCUCAAUUCCAACAAUGGUUUCAUUAGAUAUCUUACAACUAGAAUCAUCUUUUUUCCGCUCCAAUUCCUCCAACACUGCAAACCCAAGUUAAAUCCAGGCAUGAUACAUUUUUUUGUGAUUGGGAGAACUCAAUUACUCUCUUUCGGAUCUAGGAAAAAGCUCUCAGAGAUCUUUUUUUCCUUUUGGAAGAUAAAGGAGCCAAACGAUCAACCUAUUGAUAUUGGAAGAUCCAAAAGAUUCUUCCAAUGUAUCAUUUCUAGGUCUAAUGGAAUUCAUAGGUAUAGGAAAAAGCCCUAUUAAAUAGAGAUUUUUUCUUUCGGCCAUAUUUCAAUUAUUAAUACAGUAUAUAAGGACUACUACUACAAAUAGUACUACACCAUUGAUCGUGAAAUAUCAAGUGCUUGUUGAAUCCUGUGAAUUGCGUGAAAGUAGGAUACUCCAAAUUCGGGGGUCUAGGAGUUUUAUAAAAUGUUCUUGGUGAAAAAAAAUGUGGAUGAAAGAUCCUACGAAAUUGAAUUGGGUGCAUGAAUCUAAGAAAUAGUGAGAAUUAUGGAUCUCUCUCAAUUCGAAAAUCCAGGAUUUGAAUUGACAUCCUUUCAUUGAUUUCUCCUAAAUUGAAUUAAUUUCUCCUAAAGAUUUCAUUUCAAUUGGAAUUUGGUUACUCACCAUGUACGAGGAUCCCUGCUAAGCAUCCAUGGUUGAAUGGUUAAAGCACUCAACUCAUAAUUGGCGAAUUCGUAGGUUAAAUUCCUACUGGAUGCACGCCAAUGGGACACUACAAUAAAUCUAUUGGAAUUGACUCUAUGUCAAUGGAAUCUAAUCAUCCAUACAUAACGAAUUGAUGUGGUAUGUUAAUAUACCUUUAAUGUCAACUUUAAUGAAGAAUCAAGAUCAAGUAGGACAGAAAUAAAGCAUUGGGUCGAACUCUUCUGAAAUGGUAGAAGAAUAGGACCUAUUCUCAGUAGAAGAAUGGGACCUAUACAGGGACAUAUAAAGCAUUACAGACGUAUGAUCAUUACACUUCAACUGGGUUAUUCUAUUCCACCUCUUAAAAAGAAAAGAACUUAAAUCAAAAUGGUUAAUAUUAAUAGCAUAGCAAUAUAUUUAUACAAAACUUCUACCCCCAAGCACCCCAAGCACACGCAAUGGAGCCGUAAACAAUCAAGUGAAAUUCAAUACACAAAAUAAUUUGAUCUAUGGACAGCAUCAUUGUAAUAAAGGUCGUAAUGCCAGAGGAAUCAUUACCACAUGGCAUAGAGCGGGAUUUUCAGAUAGUCUAAUGAGUUGUAGUCGCCGUGGGUAAUUUUACAUUUGAUUUACAAUGCACUACUUAUAAGUAAAAUGAGAAAAAUGGUGCAUUGAAAACUGCAUAAUUUUCUUUAUAUUUUUUUAACAAGUUUUUUUUUUGUAUAUUUUUUUAACAAGUUCAUAAAAGCACUUUUAAACAAAGUCCAAUUUGGAUAGGAGAAUUUUCAUUUGGCCCCACCAUUUUGAUCAUUUGCUUGCAGCCAUGCAAAGAAAGUGACCAGAUUUGGCCCAUAAAUUAUAAACAAGUUGAUAAAGACUUAAGUGGAAAGGACAAAUAGUAACUUCAACUCAAAUAUUUCCCAGCCUGAGAGUUUCUUAGUAGAUCCACUGUUCCAUGUCGUGAGAUCAGCCUUUUGGAUGAGGAAUGAGUAGUGUGCAAAAAUCAAGAAUUCAUUGUGCAAUUGGCACGCGCCUACCCUACCAGAGCAGCCAUGGCCUGGAUCCGGAAGAAACUUGUGGUGGCCAUGAUGGUGAGCUCGACGGAGCUCAAGUGGCCAGCUCAAAGCAGGGACAGUGGGAGGGUGUCUUCUGGUUUCUUAUCAUUUUUAUCGUAUCCUUUUUUUCUUUCUCUAAACUUUUUAUUUUUUUCUUUCUCUAAACUUUUUAUUAUAAAAUCUUUUAAUUCUUUUCCAGACGGGGCGUUAGGUAGAGUCAGCUUUUUUUUUUUUUUUUAGGUAGAGUCAGCUUUUAGUCGGUCAAAUCAUUGAAUUAAUAAAAAUGUUCAUUAUACAAAUUUGAAUAGGAUUCAGUCGUACUAUUCAAAAGUUUUAGGUCAAUUACAUUUGCUUGAUGAAUUUUAGAAUUACUGAUGUAGGUAUCCAUGUGUAAAGGUAAUACUCAUCCAUGGAUAUAGUCCAGUGAACUUCUAUGGUACUUUAACAGAUGAAAGCGGGUGAAGCUUUCGUGACUAGUAGGGAAACUGUAGGCCAUCCUAUGGAGAUGAUGAGAGGAGAGCUUUGUAAUCAGUAAAGAUAAUACCAGCACUUGCAGCAAUCAUUACACUCUAAUGAAACUAGAAAGAUGAGACAUACAAGCCAAUGACUCAUGAAACAUAACUCUGCAUCUGUCCAAUCUUUUUAUUGCUCAUAAUAGAAAAUCACAGAACCGGAAGUUCAGUUCUGUGAAACACCAGCCUGGUCAUCAUCUCCAACUUUGAUGAUUGAAGACAACCCAUAAGAGAAAAUCCCACAUAAAACAUUGACCCAACAAGGACAGAAUCAACAACGAAAUACAGCUAACAACUCAUAUAAAAAGGGGUAGGAAAGGUCUAAUGUUACGGUCCCCCAGCACCAGAUAAUUUAAACUAGACCCCUUUGCAUCACUGCUGGUUCCUCAUGGCAAGAACCUUGGCCAAAGCCGGCCGGGCCAUGAUGUCGGCCACCCAAGCGCUCACCUUGGGGCGGGCGUCGAACAGCUUCUUCACAGGUGAAGCCAUCAGGUUGGUCAGGGCCGGGAGGUGGUGGAGGUCGGCCAGGGUGAAGCAGUCGCAGCCCAAGUACUUGGACUGGCUCAACCGGGCCUCGUAGAUGUCGAGGACCUUGGCGAGCUUGGCCUCGUUCUCCUCGACUACUGCGGCGUCCGUGGCCAUGCCGAACAUCGGCUUAAACAGGAGCUCCCACUGCAGCUUCGACCCCACCGGGUCAAACUGGUGGGCCUCGACCUCCAUCCACACGCCCAAGGUCGCCAUGGGUUUGCCCUCGCACACGAGGGGAGUGCCCUUGUCCUUGUAUACAUUAGCUAUGUAUUGAGUAAUUGCCCUUGAUUCUGCCACCACAAAGAACAAAAUCAAGAUGUAAACCAUGCUUCGCGUAGUUGUUUCUUGUUCAGUUGACGAAUUGAACAGUCAAAGAUUGACUAAACACUUGAUCCUUCAUCAUGGUCGCAUGAUCUAUCAGCAAUCGAAUCAGCACCCUUUGACUAAAUACUUUCAUCUUUCAUGAUGGUCACACAGUAUAAUACACCACGAACAGAAAGACUUACCGAAUAGCUUCAAAUCUCCGUCCUCAAAGGCCGGGACUUGACCGAAAGGCUGCACAGAGAGAUCCAGAAACGUUAGAUCUGAGCGAGACGAAAGAGGGUUUCUUGAAAGAGCACAUUCAGACCCCCCAAGACCGAAAAUCUGCGAGUAUAAAGGUCGAACUGGUGGUGGGCAGGUAAGGAGACUUACGUUGAGGGCGAGGAAGUGCUCCUUCUUGUGCUCGCCGGCCCGCAUGUCGACGGGGACGAACUCGAACUCGAGGCCCUUCUCGUUGAGGGCAAUGAGUACCCGCAUAGCCGCGGUGGAUAAGACGCUUCCGUGGACCUUCAUCACCAUGGUGGCUGGCUCUGCUUUCUUUUCUUUAUCUCUCUCUCUCGAAGGCUAAAUGCAGAACAGAUGUGGCGAAAGAGGGUGGGUUUUGGGCUCUUUUUAUAAGGGUUUCAGGAUCUCGUUCUGGAAUGAUCCAAUUGACUUUUAAAAUUCGAUUUUUCUUUCCCAUUCAACGAGAUAAUUUUGCUUUUUUUAUCUUUGUUGUUUAUACUUAGGAGAUGGAGAUGCAAAAAUGGCUCCUUGUCGGAUGAAGAGAGAGAGAGAGAGAGAGACGGACGCGACGAUUCCUGAGAAGCCAUUUUGAUAUUCAUCUCGCACUUUCUUCUCUUCAUUCGAUGUCUGAACAGAUCAAAAGAAAGGCGCAGACACCUACGUGCGCACGUCAUGCGGCGAGUAGCUCGUGCCAAAAGCGCCUAUCUACCGACCCAAAAAAAAGAAGCGCCUAUCUACCGACAAAAAAGAAAAAAAAAGCGCCUAUCUUGGGAAGGAAGAUACAUUUAGGGGAUAUUUGGUAGCUAUCUAAAUAGUAUCUGAUUCUGAUUUUUUCUUUCUGAAAGUAAUUUUGAAAUGGAAUCUCGUUUGGUAAAAUUUUUGUUCCAGAAAUAAAUUUAUAUUUUUCUUGUUCUCGAAAAUAGAUUUGAAAUAGAAUCAAGAAUAAAAAAAAAAAUUGACUCUUAUUCUAUAAACAAAUCUAAAAAUCAAAAUCAACUUUUCUUCUUCUUCUUUUUUCUUCUUCUUCAUCAACCGACAUCCCGCAAAUACUAUCCGCCGCCGUCCACCAUCGUUCGCUACCGGUCGCCGACAACCGGUCCGGCGAGCACCGAAGGCUCGCCAGGCCAAGACGAGGUCCAGCGAGCUCGCUGAGGCUUAGGCUUGGCCUUACCAGAUUUAGCGAGGUCGAGCCUUGCCCAACUACCGGCGAUGCUCGGCCAACGAGGGCCAACAAAACUUCAAUGAGGUCGCCAGCCACAAGAAGAAGAAGAAGAAGAAGAAGAAGAAGAGAAAAAAUGGGAAAAAAAGUAAAAAUGAAAAAAAAUAAUUGAUUUGGAACAGAAUCAAUAAGCAUGAUACCAAACGCAAUUCUAUUCCAAAAUCAGAAAUUUUAAAUAAUUAUUAAAUGGCUUAAAAUGUUUAGAAAUUGUUCCUAAGAAUAGAAUAAAAAAUAAUCAUUUCUGAUUAGAAUUUGUUCUCGAGAAUAAAAUCAUUACCAAACACACUCCUAAAGGGCGAGGAUGUAACUCCACUCUUCAGAAAAGACUUUGAGAAAACGUGAAUCAUGUUUCAAAAAAUGGAUUACUACAAAUGUAUCAUGCAGUCCCUAAAAUUUAAUUUUGUACAACGUGAUCCGUGAGUUUUUAUUAUAUAAUAUCAUUUCUAAAUUUUUAAUUUAUUUUAUAUAAUCUUUACAUUAUUGAUAAAUAUUUAGUAUAAUCUUUAAAUUAUAUGAAUUUGUUUAAAAAUUUAUUAUCUAAAUUCUAGAUUCGAACAUAUUGAGAAAGUUUGACCAUACGUUGGAUUUUUUAAUAGAAUAUUAGACACGUGUUGGAGUAUCUAAUAUGACUCAAAAACUCUGGAGAAUGUCGACGUUUCCCAUAGCAGAGUUAGCUUUUUUGAUUGGUCAAAUCAAACAAAUUAAUAAAAAAUUUUAUUAUACAUUUUAAAAUAUUAGGGGUCAAUUACACGACAAAAUUUAAAAUUUCCGAUGCAUAUAUCCCUUAGUGUAAAGGCAGUACUCAUCCAUGAAUAAAGUGCAGUGAACUAGGCGAAGCUUUAGGGAAGCCUUAGGCCAUCCCAUGGAGAUGAUGAGAGGAGGGGUUUUCAUCAGUAGAGAUAAUACCAGCACUUGCAGAAAUCAUUACAUUCUAAUGAAACUACAAAGAUGAGGCAUAUAAAACAAUGACCCAUGAAACAUAAUUUUGCAUCUGUCCAAUCUUUUUAUUGCUCAUAAUAGAAAAUCACAGAACUUGCAGUUCGGCGAAACGCCAGCCUGGUCAUCAUCUCCGACUUUGAUGAUUGAAGACGACCCUUCAGAGAAAAUCCCACAUAAAACAUUGACCAAAGGAGGAUAGAAUCGACAGCAAAAUACGAUUACCAACUCAUAUAGAAAGGGGUAGAAAAGGUCUAAUGUUAUCGUCCCCUAGCACCAGAUGAUUUAAGCUAGACCCAUUGCUUCACUGCUGGUUUCUCAUGGUAAGAACCUUGGCCAAAGCCGGCGGGGUCACGAUGUCAGCCACCCAAGCACUCACCUUCGGGCGGGCGUCCAAUAGCUUCUUCACAAGUGUCCCCAUCAGGCUGGUCAAGGCCGAGAGGUGGUGGAGGUCAGCCAGGGUGAAGCAGUCGCAGCUUAAAUACUUGGACUGGCUCAGCCGAGCCUCGUAGAUGUCGAGGACCUUGGCAAGGUUGGCCUCCUUAUCCUAGAUGGGCUAAGUCAAACGGGUUUUUCAUUUGAUGGGUCAAGUUAAGUCUGUUCGCCCACUCAGCCCAUAAAAGGAAAAUACAGUUAUUUUCUAAGUGAAAAUAACUGUAAUAUAUAAAAUAAAAAUUAAAUGUUCAGAGAGAAAACACGUUUCUCCAUUUUCUUCUCUUUGAAACAGUUCACUCUCUCUUGAAGAAGGAGAAUUCUGAGAUUGCAACAAUGUUUUUUUGAACAUGUUUCUGCGUUCGUUUUUUAUAUUCGAUCGUUUGAGUAUCAGUUCGAUUUUCAGAAAUCUAUUUGCCGCAUCCUUGACUACUGCAGCAUCCGUGGCCAUACCAAUUUUCGACUUGUACACGAGCUCCCAAUGCAGCUUCGACGCUGCCGGGUCAAACUGGUGGGCCUCGACUUCCAUCCACGAGAAAAUAUUGGCUUUGCCCUCGCAAACGAGGGAGCGCCCUUGUCCUCGUAUACGUGAGCAAUGUAUUGAGUAAUUGCCCUCGAUUCUGCCACCACGAAGAGCAUAAUCAAGACAUAAACUAUAUUUCGCGUAGUUGUUUCUUGUUCUGUUGACUGAGUGAACAGUCAAAGAUUGACUAAACACUUGAUCUUUCAUCAUGAUUGCACGAUCUAUCGGCAAUCGAAUCAGCGCCCUUUGACUAAAUACUUUCAUCUUUCAUGAUGGUCACACAAUAUAACACAUCAGUAAUAGAAAGACUUACCCAAUAGCUUCAAAUCUCCGUCCUCAAAGGCCGGGACUUGACCGAAAGGCUGCACAGAGAGAUCGAGAAACGUUAGAUCCAAGAGACGAAGGAGGUUUUCUUGAAAGACCACGUCGAGACCCCACGACCAGAAAAUAGUUAGGAAUACUGUGGCACGGGCGGUGGGCGGUGAUGGAGACUUAAGUUGAGGGCGAGGAAAUGCUCCUUCUUGUGCUCGCCGGCUCGCAAGUCGACGAAGACGAACUCGAACUCGAGGUCCUUCUCGUGGAGGGCAAUGAGGACCCGCAUCGUCGGGGCGGAGAAGACGCUUCCGUGGACCUUCAUCACCAUGAUUGCUCGCUCUGCUUUCUUUUCUUUAUCUCUCUCUCAGAACCUGAACGCAGAACAGCUGUGGCGAUCAAUGGUGGGUCUCGGGCUCUUUUUAUAAGGGCUUCAGGAUCUUGUUCUGGAAUGAUGUAAUUGACUUGAACAUUUCGAUUCUGGUAUGCCCUUCAACGAGAUAAUCUUGCCUUGUAUCUUUUAUUGUUUACAGUUAGCAGGUGGAGAUGACAGUAAUGGCUCCUUGUCGGGAUGUGGGGAGAGGGAGAGAGAGACGCAGGCGAUAAGUCCUCCGUAGCCAUGUUCCUGUCCGUCGGCGAGGUUCUUAUCUCCCAUUCUUGGAAAGGAGAUACUAUUGCUGUACCAUUAUUAUUUCCUAUUUCUGCUAAAUUCAACACCAUCUAUCACGGCCCUACUUUUUUCGUCGUCUGAAAGUUUCUCAGAAAAUGAAAUCCAUCGGUGGCAGUUGGGAUUGGACAGCCUGAACCUGAAACUGCGUGGACUCUACCGGCGGAUUUGGUCCAAUUUAUGAGAAUAUCAAUGUGGUUCCGAUUUUGAGGCAGAAUUGAAUUAGACCGACUAAUUAUUUUUUUAUUUAUUCAAAAAAUUAGUGAAAUAUGAACUAAAUACUAAAGCAAUGAGAAAAAAAAAAAACUAUCGAUUCCAUUAGAUCAUACCAGAAUUGGAUCGAAUCGAUGAUGUGGUCCGAUUUCCAAUUGUAGGACUAAUCGAUCCAAUCCUCAGUUCUAAUUUUUGGGAACAUGACCAUCUCCUAGUCAGAUUUCCGAUUUCACCUUGGAAUUGAAUCGGAUCAGAAACUAAUCACCCUUACUCAAAAGGAGACAACAAAUCUCUGUGUAGUAGGUAGCACAUCAAUAAGUCACUUGUGUGAAACGUGCCUCUACUCAGAAGGAGAAUUUUUUGAAAAUCAAAAAGGCAAUCCUCUCUUUAGAAAGACUUUGAGAAAACAUUAAUUAUGUUUAAGAAAUGAGAGAAAAUGGAAUGAAUUUUCAGGUGGGUUGAAAAUAAAGAAAACUUCUAAUUUUACUUAAGGCAUAAAAAGAGUGGAAAGUGUUUCUUGUUUUCCUUUUCUUUUUCUUUUUUUUGUAAUUUUCUUCUCUCUUCCAUUGACCAUGAUUGCAAACAUAAGGAAAGGACUAAAAGUUGAAUUUGUUCUUCUUUUUUUUAUCGAAGAAAAUUUUAUUGAAAUUACGAACAUGGUGUAAAGAGCUCCGAGCAAGGCGAAUCUGAACAAAGGAGGGCCCAAAGGGUUUGAGGAGGAAAAGAAAGCCGGUUUUGUGGAAGUGAGCCAAUCCAUCAUGUCGGUUACUGCAUUAGAAGCCCGCGAAAAAUGGGCUAUGCGAAUGGAUGGAUGGGCCUUGAGUAGCUUUAUAAAAUUCAUGAUAAGAAGUCACUCCUCCCGGUUGAAAUUAUUCGUAAACCCGCUUACCAAAGCUUCCACGAGAUCGGCAUGGUUGAGCUCAACUGCAUAGUUUGCGGAACUAUCUUCACUCAAAACUACAAGCUGGAUUGCUUCAAGGACGGCUAGGGCUUCCGCCUAAGAAGGUGAUGAGAUCUUCACCAAUUUGGGGAAACCCGUAAUAAUAAUACGAGCACGAUCUCUGUAGAUACCAGCUACGGUGCCAUCCACCAAUUCAUCGACAAAGGAGCCAUCAACAUUGGAUUUUAGGAUUUUCUACUCCAAUGGAACCCAAGUCUGCAACUUAUAAACGUGGGAUCUUUUCUUGUAUUUGAUGUAUGAAAGAUCCAUUUUAAGUAAUUUGGUCGCUAGAAAUAUGUUGAUUGCAUGGUAUGUCGUGCGUUCAGAAAUUUGCCCCGAAAUACAUUAUAAAAAGAAAAUAUCAAUGAACUUCUAUGAAAUUGUUUCACGGAUUCAGGCAAUUGUCUUGAUCGUGAAAUAUCAUUGAGAAAAAGGAAUUUGUAUUAUUAAAAGAUUUCCUGCAAUUAUUUCUAGUAUGGAAUGAAUCAAUCAUCCACUUUGGUAUCUUAUUGAACAAAAAUGGUGAUAUUGUUCCUUGAUUGAUCAAUAAUUUCGAUUUUUAGAAAGUAUCAUGAUCAUCCAAAAAUAAUGGCUUCCAUUUUUACAAAUAAACGAUUUGAAGACCUAUUGAUUCUAACAACUGAUUGCAGAGUUGAUCAUUCGGACCUUUCAAUUCAUAGACGUGGAUCUCGAACCUAUGAAUGGGGUUAUUCAUGAAACUCACAAAGAAAAAAGGAAGUGAGUUAGACAAAAGAAGAAGAAGAAGAAGAAAUUUGGACAAAAAAGAUUUCGAAUAGCUAUCAUGAAUUCAAAUUAAUUAUGUUUAGUUUCUUACUCGGAGAAAGACGAUCCAAAAUUCCCAAUCACGGUACUUGCAAAUCGGAUCAUCCAUAUAAUAUACAAAAAGAAACUCCAGAUAUUUGAUAUAUUUUCCUUUGAAUGAGAUCUCAAUUCCAACGAUGGUUUCAUUAGAUAUCUUACAACUAGAAUCCUCUUUUUUCCGAUCAAAUUCCUCCAGCACUGCAAACCCAAGUUAAAUCCAGGCAUGAUACACUUUUUCGUUAUUGGGAGAACUUAAGUACUCUCUUUCGGAUCCAAGAAAAAGCUCUCGAAGAUCUUAAGAUCUUUCCUUUUGGAAGAUAAAGGAGCGAAAUGAUCAACUUAUUGAUAUUGGAAGACCCAAGACCCAAACGAUUCUUCCAAUGUAUCAUUUCUAGGUCCAAUGGAAUUCAUAGGUAUAGGAAAAUGCCCUAUCAAAUAGAGAUUUUUUUUCUUUCGGCCAUAUUUCAAUUAUUAAUAUGAUAUAUAAGGACUACUACUACAAAUAGUACUACACCCUUGAUCGUGAAAUAUCAAUUGCUUGUUGAAUCUUGUGAAUUGCGUGAAAGUAGGAUACUCCAAAUUCGGGGGUCCAGGAGUUUUAUAAAAUGUUCUUGGUGGAAAAAAAUGUGGAUGAAAGAUCCCAUGAAAUUGAAUUGGGUCCAUGAAUCUAAGAAAUAGUGAGAAUUAUGGAUCUCUCAAUUCGAAAAUCCAGGAUUUGAAUUGAUGUCCUUUCAUUGAUUUCUCCUAAAUUGCAUUAAUUUCUCCUAAAGAUUUCAUUUCAAUUGGAAUUUGGUUAUUCACCGUGUAUGAGGAUCCCUGCUAAGCAUCCAUGGUUGAAUGGUUAAAGCGCCCAACUCAUAAUUGGCGAAUUCGUAGGUUCAAUUCCUAUUGGAUGCAUGCCAAUGGGACACUACAAUAAAUCUAUUGGAAUUGACUAUAUAUCAAUGGAAUCUGAUCAUCCAUACAUAACAAAUUGAUGUGGUAUAUUCAUAUCAUAACAUAAGAUAUUGGGGAAGAAAAUUGAUUUAUGGAAGAAAAAUUAUUAGGGAAAAAUCAAUAUACCUUUAAUGCCGAAUCAAGAUCAAGUAGGACAUAAAUAAAGCAUUGGGUCGAACUCUUCUGAAAGGAUAGAAGAAUAGGACCUAUUAUCGUUAGAAGAAUGGGACCUAUUCUUGGGCAUACAAAGCAUUACAGACGUAUGAUCAUUACACUUCAACUAGGUUAUUCUAUUCCCAUCUUAAAAAGAAACGAACUUAAAUCAAAAUGGUUAAUAUUAAUAGCAUAGCAAUAUAUUUAUACAAAACUUCUAUCUUGGGAUAGAAGUUUUGUAUAAAUAUAUCGCUAUGGAGCCGUAGACAUACACGAAAUAAUUUGAUCUAUGGACGGCAUCAUUGUAAUAAAGGUUGUAAUGCUAGAGGAAUCAUUACCGCAUGGCAUAGAGCAGGAUUUUCAAAUACUCCAAUGAGUUGUAGUUGCCAUGGGUAAUUUUAAAUUUGAUUUACAAUGCACUACUUAUAAGUAAAAUGAGAAAAACGGUGCAUUGAAAACUGCAUAAUUCUCUUUAUAUUUUUUUAACAAGUUCAUAAAAGCACUUUUAAACAAAGUCCAAUUUGGAUAGGAGAAUUUUCAUUUGGCCCCACCAUUUUGAUCAUUUGCUUGCAGCCAUGCAAAGAAAGUGACCAGAUUUGGCCCAUAAAUUAUAAACAAGUUAAUAAAGACUUAAGUGGAAAGGACAAAUAGUAACUUCAACCUCAAAUAUUUCCCAGCCUGAGAGUUUCUUAGUAGAUCCACUGUUCCAUGUCGUGAGAUCAGCCUUUUGGAUGAGGAAUGAGUAGUGUGCAAAAAUCAAGAAUUCAUUGUGCAAUUGGCACGCGCCCACCCUACCAGAGCAGCCAUGGCCAGGAUCCGGAAGAAACUUGUUGUGGCCAUGAUGGUGAGCUCGACGGAGCUCAAGUGGCCAGCUCAAAGCAGGGACAGUGGGAGGGUGGCUUCUGGUUUCUUAUCAAUUUUAUUAUAUCCUCUUUCUCUUUCUCUAAACUUUUUAUUAUAAAAUCUUUUAAUUCUUUUCCAGACGUGGCGUUAGGUAGAGUCAGCUUUUAGUUGGUCAAAUCAAAUGAAUUAAUAAAAAUGUUCCUUAUACAAAUUUGAAUAGGAUUCAGUUCGUACUAUUUAAAAGUUUUAGGUCAAUUACAUUUGCUUGAUGAAUUUUAGAAUUUCUGAUGUAGGUACCCCUUUGUGUAAAGGUAAUACUCAUCCAUGAAUAUAGUCCAGUGAACUUCUAUGGUACUUUAACAGUUGAAAGCGGGUGAAGCUUUCGUGACUAGUAGGGAAACCGUAGGCCAUCCUAUGGAGAUGAUGAGAGGAGAGGUUUUCAUCAGUAGAGAUAAUACCACUACCAGCACUUGCAGCAAUCAUUACACUCUAACGAAACUAGAAAGAUGAGACAUACAAGCCAAUGACUCAUGAAACAUAACUCUGCAUCUGUCCAAUCUUUUUAUUGCUCAAAAUAGAAAAUCACAGAACCAGAAGUCCAGUUCUGCGAAACACCAGCCUGGUCAUCAUCUCCAACUUUGAUGAUUGAAGACGACCCUUCAGAGAAAAUCCCACAUAAAACAUUGACCCAAGAAGGACAGAAUCAACAACCAAAUACAGCUAACAACUCAUAUAAAAAGGGGUAGAACAGGUCUAAUGUUACGGUCCCCGGCACCCGAUAAUUUAAACUAGACCCCUUUGCAUCACUGCUGGUUCCUCAUGGCAAGAACCUUGGCCAAAGCCGGCCGGGCCAUGAUGUCGGCCACCCAAGCGCUCACCUUGGGGCAGGCGUCGAACAGCUUCUUCACAGGUGAAGCCAUCAGGUUGGUCAGGGCCGGGAGGUGGUGGAGGUCGGCCAGGGUGAAGCAGUCGCAGCCCAAGUACUUGGACUGGCUCAGCCGGGCCUCGUAGAUGUCGAGGACCUUGGCGAGCUUGGCCUCGUUCUCCUCGACUACGGCGGCGUCCGUGGCCAUGCCGAACAUCGGCUUGAACACGAGCUCCCACUGCAGCUUCGACGCCACGGGGUCAAACUGGUGGGCCUCGACCUCCAUCCACACGCCCACGGUCGCCAUGGGUUUGCCCUCGCACACGAGGGGAGUGCCCUUGUCCUCGUAUACAUGAGCAAUGUAUUGAGUAAUUGCCCUGGAUUCUGCCACCACAAAGAACACAAUCAAGAUGUAAACUAUACUUCGCGUAGUUGUUUCUUGUUCAGUUGACGAAUUGAACACUCAAAGGUUGACUAAACACUUGAUCUUUCAUCAUGGUCGCACGAUCUAUCAACAAUCGAAUCAGCACCCUUUGACUAAAUACUUUCAUCUUUCAUGAUGGUCACACAAUAUAAUACACCACUAACAGAAAGACUUACCGAAUAGCUUCAAAUCUCCAUCCUCAAAGGCCGGGACUUGACCGAAAGGCUGCACAGAGAGAUCCAGAAACGUUAGAUCUGAGAGAGACGAAGGAGGGUUUCUUGAAAGAGCACAUUCAACCCGCCAAGACCGAAAAUCUGCGAGUAUAACGGUCGAACUGGUGGAGGGCAGGAACGGAGACUUACGUUGAGGGCGAGGAAGUGCUCCUUCUUGUGCUCGCCGGCCCGCAUGUCGACGGGGACGAACUCGAACUCGAGGCCCUUCUCGUUGAGGGCAAUAAGGACCCGCAUAGCCGCGGUGGAUAAGACGCUUCCGUGGACCUUCAUCACCAUGGUCGCUGGCUCUGCUUUCUUAUCUUUAUCUCCCUAUCUCGAAGCCUAAAUGUAGAACAGAUGCAGAACAGAUGUGCUUUAUUAUCUUUAUCUCCCUAUCUUGUUUUGGAAUGAUCUAAUUGACUUUUAAAAUUCGAUUUUUCUUUCCCAUUCAACGAGAUAAUUUUGCUUUUUUAUCUUUGUUGUUUAUACUUAGGAGAUGGAGAUGCAAAAAUGGCUCCUCCUUUUCUUUUCUCUCGCGUCCUUCCUUUCUUUUCCCUCUGCACCUUGUCAGAAAAAGGACAAAGUCCUUUGUUGACCUGUUGAAAAAAACGAGAGAGAACUCCCUUUUUUUUAAAUCUAACGUCCGCCCCCUCUUUCGUCCGUUUGCGAGCGGCUUUUAUGGGCGAGGUAUUAAGGCUUUCUAGAAUAUUUUAUUUCCUUUUUCACAUCGGAUUCACAUUUCCUUUCUCAACAUGCAUGAAGAUAUAUUGUCGAAAUAUGUACCCCACAUGCAAUAUUUCUUUUUAUUUUCCACAUCUCUUCUAGCCUUGUUUGAUUUCCUUUAUAUGCACUUCAUAUCUUUCCACAUUAAAUUAUGCAAAAAAAAAAGAAUAUUCUCCAUCGAUUUUUAUUAUAUAUUGCCAAAAAUUCAAGAUUAUAAUAGGAUUUUCUCAAAUUCUAAAUCUUGUCAAGAUGAGCUCGUAAUAUCUCCUUCUCACACUUGCCCUUUUUGAGAAUAUAUGAAUAGAUUACAUGAACAUACAAAAAAUCCUCUAUCAUAUCACUAAAAAUAUCGAAUCGUCAAUUCUUAUAAGUUAAUCUUUGGUCAUCAAAAAAUAAUGGGCUUGGGCCAAUUCCAUUUCAACGCAGGCUUAGUCCAACUUGCUAAAUUUAAGCUCAGAACCAUCAAAUUAAAUCCAUUCGUCACCAACCCAAUGCAAAUGUAAUAAAAAAAAAAAGUUCUCUUAAAACUACAUGUUAUGUAAUUUAAUUAUAAUUUUUUUUUGUUUAUGGGUUAAAAAUUAAUCUCUAAUUUUUAAAAGGGAAAACCUCAAAUAAGGAUUGAAAAUGGCUUCGUUUUCUCAAAAAAGAACCUAAAGUGAAGUUUGUCUCAAAUAAGGACCUAAAGUAGUCAUUUAGUCUCAAAAAAUGACCUAACUCGCCGGCCAAUGAACUAAUGCAUUUCUGAUGCGUAUUCCGGUGACCUAAUCAAGGUAUUUUCAUCCAAAAAAUAUUCUCUUUUCAUUUUCCUUUUCCCCUGUUCAUCUUCUCCAUCUGCGAGCAGACCUCCAAUAUCUCGCCAGUGAAGUAAUUGCCGACGAGAUCAAGCCACUUCAGCUUCUUGAGCCUUGCCACCUCCAGCGACAGCGGCCCCGUGAACUUGUCAUUGCCCAAGUGGAGUUCUUCAAGCUAGGUUAUCGCCUGUAAGACUUUGCUGGGGAAGAUCCCAAAGAGGUUGAGGAAUUGGAGGGAGGUGGGGCUGCCGAGCUUUGGCGGGAGGGUCCUGGUGAGGUUGUCGGUGGUGAGCGUGAGGUUGACGAGGUCACAAAGAAGGCCAAUUUUCGGGUGGGAUGUAGCUCGGGAGGCCGACGGAUGUGAUGUUGAGAGAGACGACCCACGAGCCAGCGUCGCAUGUGACUUCGGUGAAGGAGCAAUGCGGAAAGGGCGGUGGCAAGAAGGAGGAGGAGGAGUUGACCCAGUCGCUGAUGGCGGCGGAGGGAGGCUCGACCAUGGCGGUUUUGGGCUUCAAGAGCAUGUCCAGGUCGCUCUGUGCGAGGGAAGCAGAGAUGAAGAGGAGGAAGAAGAAGACUCCAUUGUAGGGCAGUUUCAUCCUCAGUGAGUUCGACGAGGCCAGCAAGGGCUCGCCGACCUCGCCGACCACUGGUAAGGGUAGGCGAGGGCUUGGCCCUCGCCUGCUGCCAACGCCUGCUACCGGCGAUAGGCGUUGAGCCCUCGCUGGCCUCAGGUGAGGCCAACCCACACCGGUCCCACGACCUUCGCUGGCCCUUCCCUACUUCCGAUGUCCUUGAUUUGGGCAAUGCCUAUCUUCGACGAAGAAGACGAUGAAUAGGGACAACCAUGGGUAGAUCAAGAAGAAGAUGAACAGGAUAAGGAAAACAAAAAGAUAAUAUUUUUUGGACAAAAAUACUCCAGACCAGGUCGUUGGAAUACGCAUUGAAAAUGCAUCAAUUCGCCGGCCGACAAGUCAGGUCCUUUUUUGAGACUAACUUAUGUGGCCAAGAGACCAUUAAAACUAUUUUUAUUACUCUUUUAUUUAUAGAAAAAAAUCUCCUUGUUAGUUUUUGUUGGAAAUAUGAUUUGUUUUUUUUAUUCUAAGUAUCUAAAUGCGGUUAAUUGAUUCUAUGAAUCCAUGAGAUUGGAUAUUAGGACAGUAGUAUAGGAAACAACAUAUUUUGUAUAUUCUUUCCUAUCGUACUCUUUUCUUGUAUUAUUAAUAGGUGUGUAAUACAUGUACAAACACAGCAAUACACAAUACAUAAAAUUCCUCCAAUUCAUUCUCAGUUUUUGUCAAUUUUCUUUCUCAUUUUCUAUCAGUUUCAUCUUCUACUUCAUGUGGGACUAAGGUUCCAAGAGACCCACAAGGCACUUCAAGCCUCCAAGAGUCCCACAUUGACUAAACAUUUAAAGAGCAGAGAUUGUCUAUAAAAUCUAAGCUAUGCAUAACUUUUAGCCAAAUUAUUCACGGCUUUCAUGGUUAAAGUUAAGUGUGAAACACACGAAGUGUGAAUCACAUUUGAAUAUUUUGCACGUGGAAACAUGUGUGAUUAGUUUUGUUGAAUUGCUCGAGAACCGAAUUGGAUUGAUCGGUCUGGAGCGCGGUCACUCUUUAGUGCAAAAAAGUAGAGCCGAUUUUGUUGGACCGGACCGGACCGGACCGGAACCAAUGGUCGGUCCGGUUCCCGGUCCUAGGACCAAACGGUCCGGUCCACGGUUUGCAAUUUUGGGAAUCGGUGCUCCCGGUCCGAUUCCCGGUUCCAAGGUGGAACCGGACCGAACCGGGAACCGAUCACCCCUAGCUGGCCCUUCCCUACUUCCGAUGUCCUUGAUUUGGGCAAUGCCUAUCUUCGACGAAGAAGACGAUGAAUAGGGACAACCAUGGGUAGAUCAAGAAGAAGAUGAACAGGAUAAGGAAAACAAAAAGAUAAUAUUUUUUGGACAAAAAUACCCCAGACCAGGUCGUUGGAAUACGCAUUGAAAAUGCAUCAAUUCGUCGGCCGACAAGUCAGAUCCUUUUUUGAGACUAAAUGACUGCUUUGGGGCCUUAUUUGAGAUAGAUUCCAUUUAAGGUCUUCUUUUGAGAAAAUGGGACCACUUUAGGUCUCUAUUUGAGAUUUUCCCUUUUUAAAAUGAUAAACAACUAAUCGUGGUUCUUUACCCAAAAAAAAAAAAAAAACAACUAAUCGUGGUUGUCAAAAUUUAUAUGUCAACACACCUCUUAGAAAUAAAAGAGCUUAAAUAAAAAUACUUAAUAUUAAUAGCAUGUUGAUACAUUUAUACAAAACUUCUACCCCGGGCACACGUAAUAAAGUCGUAGAUAGUCAAGUGAAAUCUAAUAUGCGAAAUAAUUUGAUUUAAGGACAGCAUCAUUGUAUUAAAGGUCGUAAUGCCAAAUGAAUCAUUACCGCGAGGCAUAGAGCAGGAUUUUCAAAUACUCCAAUGAGUUGUGGUCACCGUGGGUAAUUUUGAAUUUGAUUACAAUGCACUACUUAUAAGUAAAACGAGAAAAGUGGUGCACUGAAAACUGCAUAAUUUUCUUUAUUUUUUUUAACAAGUUCAUAAGAGCACUUUUAAAGAAAGUCCAAUUUGGAUAGGAGAAUUUUCAUUUGGCCCCACCAUUUUAGUCAUUUGCUUGCAGCCAUGCAAAGAAGUGACCAGAUUUGGCCCAUAAAUUAUAAGCAAGUUAAUAAAGACUUAAGCGGAAAGGACAGAGUAACUUCAACCUCAGAUAUUUCCCAGCCCGAGAGUUUCUUAGUAGAUGCACUGUUCCAUGUCGUGAGAUCAGCCUUCAGGACGAGGGACGAGUAGUGUGCAGAAAUCAAUAAUUGAUUGUGCAAUUGGCACGCGCCUACCCUGUAAGAGCAGCCGUGGCCAGGAUCCGGAAGAAACUUGUCGUGGCCAUGAUGGUGUGCUUGACGGAGCUCGAGUGGCCAGCUCAAAGCAGGGAUAGUGGGUGGGUGGAGUCCGUUUUCUUCUCAUUUUUAUUUAUCAUCCUUUUUUUUUUUUAGGGAAAAAGCCACCAAAAACCCUCCCAACUUUGCCUCGAGUGACAGAUUUACCCCGAACUUUGUUUUGUGACGUGAAAAACCCCGAAAUUUACUAACUGUGACACAUUUACCCCAAACUUUUAUUUGUGUGACAUAUUUACCCUAAAUCAUAAGGGAAUUUUGGUAUUUUUACUUUUAAAAACUUUUUUCUUUUUUUUUUUCUUUUUUUUCUUCUUCUUCUUCCUUCCUUCCGCCGGCCAUGGCGGAGCCGGCGUAGGAAGCCGAUUUUUGCGAGGGCCUCCCUACUAAAAUCAGGGGAGGUGCCCCUGGCGAGGGCACCCUCGCCCGACGCCGGCGUCGAGCGAGGGAGGCCCUCGUCCAAUCCAGUCGAGGGCUGCCCUCGCCGGACGCCAACUUCCCUCUGCCAGCCAGCCGGCGGAGGAAAGAGAGAAGAAGAAAAAAAGAAAAAAAAAAAGAAAAAGAAAAAGAAAAAAUAGAAAUAAUAAGACGAAAAUACCCUUAAUGGGGUAAAUGUAUCACAGUUAGCAAACUUCGGGAUUUUUCACGUCACAAAACAAGUUUGGGCUUUUUGGUGGUUUUUUCCCUUUUUUUUAUUCUCUAAAUUUUUAUUAUACAAUUUUUAAUUCUUUUCCAGAUGUGACGCUAGGCAGAGUCAACUUUUGCUUGGAUAGAAGUUUUGUAUAAAUGCAUAGCCAUGCUAUUAAGCCAUGCUAUUAAUAUUAAGUAUUUUGAUUUAAGUUUUUUUUCUUUCUAAGAGGUGGAAUAGAAUUUUAGUUGUCAAAUCAAAUGACUUAAUAAAGAAGUUCAUCAUAUAAAUUUAAUUAGGAUUCAAUUGUACUAUUUAAAAGUAAGUUUUAGGUGAAUUGCAUUUGCUUGAUGAAUUUUAGAAUUUCUGAGGUAGGUAUCCCUUUGUGUAAAGGCAAUGCUCAUCUAUGAAUAUAGUCCAGUGAAAGUCUAUGGUACUUUAACAGAUGAAAGCGGGUGAAGCUUUCAUGACUGGUAGGGAAACUGGAGGCCAUCCCAUCCUAUGGAGGUGAUGAGAGGAGAGGUUUUUAUCAGUAGAGAUAAUACCUGCACCCGCAGAAAUCAUUACACUCUAAUGAAACUAAAACGUCAAAACAUUUAAGCCAAUGACUCAUGAAACAUGACUCUGCAUCUGUCCAAUCUUUUUAUUGCUCAUAAUAGAAAAUCACAGAACUAAAAGUACAGUUCUGUGAAACACCAGACUGGUCAGCAUCUCCAACUUUGAUGAUUGAAGACGACCCUUCAGAGAAAAUCCCACAUAAAACAUCGACCAAAGGACAGAAACAACAACAAAAUACGAUUACCAACUCAUAUAGAAAGGGGUAGAAAAGGUCUAAUGUUAUGGUCCCCCAGCACCAGAUAAUUUUAAACUAGAGCCUGGGCUUCACUGCUGGUUCCUCAUGGCAAGAACCUUGGCCAAAGCCGGCCGGGUCAUGAUGUCGGCCACCCAAGCGCUCACCUUGGGGCGGGCGUCGAACAGCUUCUUCACAUGGGUCCCCAUCAGGUUGGUCAGGACUGGGAGGUGGUGGAGGUCGGCCAGGGUGAAGCAGUCGCAGCCCAAGUACUUGGACUGGCUCAACCGGGCCUCGUAGAUGUCGAGGACCUUGGCGAGCUUGGCCUCGUUCUCCUCGACUACUGCGGCGUCCGUGGCCAUGCCGAACAUCGGCUUAAACAGGAGCUCCCACUGCAGCUUCGACCCCACCGGGUCAAACUGGUGGGCCUCGACCUCCAUCCACACGCCCAAGGUCGCCAUGGGUUUGCCCUCGCACACGAGGGGAGUGCCCUUGUCCUUGUAUACAUUAGCUAUGUAUUGAGUAAUUGCCCUUGAUUCUGCCACCACAAAGAACAAAAUCAAGAUGUAAACCAUGCUUCGCGUAGUUGUUUCUUGUUCAGUUGACGAAUUGAACACUCAAAGAUUGACUAAACACUUGAUCCUUCAUCAUGGUCGCAUGAUCUAUCAGCAAUCGAAUCAGCACCCUUUUGACUAAAUACUUUCAUCUUUCAUGAUGGUCACACAGUAUAAUACACCACGAACAGAAAGACUUAC